AUUGAACGCUGGCGGCAGGCCUAACACAUGCAAGUCGAAUGGUAACAGGAAACAGCUUGCUGUUUCGCUGACGAGUGGCGGACGGGUGAGUCAUGUCUGGGAAACUGCCUGAUGGAGGGGGAUAACUACUGGAAACGGUAGCUAAUACCGCAUAACGUCGCAAGACCAAAGAGGGGGACCUUCGGGCCUCUUGCCAUCAGAUGUGCCCGGAUGGGAUUAGCUAGUAGGUGGGGUAACGACUCACCUAGGCGACGAGCCCUAGCUGGUCUGAGAGGAUGACCAGCCACAAUGGAACUGAGACACGGUCCAGACUCCUACGGGAGGCACCAGUGGGGAAUAUUGCACAAUGGGCGCAAGCCUGAUGCAGCCAUGCCGCGUGUAUGAAGAAGGCCUUCGGGUUGUAAAGUACUUUCAGCGGGGAGGAAGGGAGUAAAGUUAAUACCUUGGCUCAUUGACGUUACCCGCAGAAGAAGCACCGGCUAACUCCGUG
rnacentral:rRNA from 1 species